rfam:Stegodyphus mimosarum contig45611, whole genome shotgun sequence.
GCCUUAGUGGUGUAAUGGUCAGCACACUUGGCGCAUAUUCGAGAGGUCCGAGGUUCGAGUCCUGGUAAGGGCA